UGGCGCCGCCAUUUUCCUGCAGCUGCCUGUUCCUCUUACCCUGCCCGGCUCCAGCUGACCCGGGAAGGGGUGGGCUGAACUGAGGCGGGGGCAAGGGAGUGCCCGACAUCUUGUCCGACUCCGCGGGUGACACGAGCCGGUUCUCUCUGGACUGGUGGCAGCGCGCGGCCCCGAACCGCGCCCCAGGCCGGCAGGCGGGGAAGGAGCCGGUGGGGGUAGGGGGUGCGGUGGGGGGUGGGGACCCUCCGGCUCUUGGGGGUCCCAGUCCCCGCCGGCUGCUGAGCGGGUGGGGUGGUGGAGGAGCUGCAGAGAUGUCCGGCCAGAGCCUGACGGACCGAAUCACUGCCGCCCAGCACAGUGUCACCGGCUCUGCCGUAUCCAAGACAGUAUGCAAGGCCACGACCCACGAGAUCAUGGGGCCCAAGAAAAAGCACCUGGACUACUUAAUUCAGUGCACAAAUGAGAUGAAUGUGAACAUCCCACAGUUGGCAGACAGUUUAUUUGAAAGAACUACUAAUAGUAGUUGGGUGGUGGUCUUCAAAUCUCUCAUUACAACUCAUCAUUUGAUGGUGUAUGGAAAUGAGCGUUUUAUUCAGUAUUUGGCUUCAAGAAACACGUUGUUUAACUUAAGCAAUUUUUUGGAUAAAAGUGGAUUGCAAGGAUAUGACAUGUCUACAUUUAUUAGGCGGUAUAGUAGAUAUUUAAAUGAGAAAGCAGUUUCAUACAGACAAGUUGCAUUUGAUUUCACAAAAGUGAAGAGAGGGGCUGAUGGAGUUAUGAGAACAAUGAACACAGAAAAACUCCUAAAAACUGUACCAAUUAUUCAGAAUCAGAUGGAUGCACUUCUUGAUUUUAAUGUUAAUAGCAAUGAACUUACAAAUGGGGUAAUAAAUGCUGCCUUCAUGCUCCUGUUCAAAGAUGCCAUUAGACUGUUUGCAGCAUACAAUGAAGGAAUUAUUAAUUUGUUGGAAAAAUAUUUUGAUAUGAAA
rnacentral:lncRNA from 1 species